GGGGCAAUGGCGCAUCUGGGAGCGCGUCAGACUGAAGUAAAACUUUGGCCUUAGGUUCAUCCUUCGGGAUGUCCUGUUAAUCUGAAGGUGGCCGGUUCAAGCCCGGCUUGCCCCA
rnacentral:tRNA from 1 species